UAUAUAUGUCACCAUGGCUUCUGUUGGGUUGAAGACUUAUGGUCGUUUACUUUGAUAUUCAGACAUAGUAUAGUGUAUGUAUGUAGCUGUCGACUAUUGUGCUGCGUAUUAUUUUGCAGUCAGUAGUUCUCGUUUCACGUAUGAGCAGAUAAUUAUAGAAUUAAAAUAGGGAAGGUCAUCCUGUGUCCAACUCUAAACAUGUAAACAUAGUAAAUAUCUAAAUAUUUUCAAUACUUACUCUAGAUAGUAAACAACAAUAAUCUUUUAUCAGAUCAUAUUUCUCACAGAACAUUUUUUAGAGCAGGCACUUAAUAAUCUUAAUCUGACCAUCAGCAAUAUGUUACUAAGCCUUCCACGUUCUACUCAUUCUGUCUCUGUUUGCACCUGUCUGCCCUUAGGUUGUCAGACUCAACACGUGAAUCAGUGGCAAUAUGCAAUGUUUGCAUUGACGGCAGGAGAGGCCUGACCUUCCCAAGGUCGGCCCAGUCUGACUCCACUCGCUCCUGUUACAAGAAAUCAAGGACAGAUGAUCUGCCUCCUCCUGGUCCUGCUGGGUGUUUCUCUGGCUGCUGCCAGCUGCCACACUGCCUCCAGCACAGAGUGUGGCCGUCCCGACUUUGUUCCGGGACACAACCUGGUGGGCAAGAGGUUUUUAAUUAGGUAAAAUCAAAGAAAUUCAUCAUUUUUAAGUGGUUCCUUGAUCCCCCUGACCACAAACCAACUGAGAUGGUGAUUUGGGAAGAGCUGGAGCUUCACAGUGUGAGGGAAAAGCAGCAGCUAUUGUUCAGCACCUCCAGGAACUCCUUCAAGACUCUGAGAAAACUAUUCCAGGUGACUCUACCUCAUGAAGACUCUGAGAUUAAAACAAGUUAUUAUAAAUUAGUUACAAAUUAAAUAUCAAUAUAAGUAUAACUUCAUUUUGUAUAUUAAUGUUAACAUAACCUAAUUAUAUAUGUUCUAUAUCAUUCUGAAGAUAUGUAACCGUUAUUUGAUGCAUGAUUUAAUAUAGCUGCCAGCAUAUUAUUAAAU
rnacentral:lncRNA from 1 species